UGAUACGCCAAGCUAUUUAGGUGACACUAUAGAAUACUCAAGCUAUGCAUCCAACGCGUUGGGAGCUCUCCCAUAUGGUCGACCUGCAGGCGGCCGCGAAUUCACUAGUGAUUAGAGUUUGAUCAUGGCUCAGAUUGAACGCUGGCGGAAUGCUUUACACAUGCAAGUCGAACGGCAGCACGGGAGCUUGCCCCUGGUGGCGAGUGGCGAACGGGUGAGUAACGCGUCGGAACGUACCGAGUAAUGGGGGAUAACGCAGCGAAAGCUGUGCUAAUACCGCAUACGCCCUGAGGGGGAAAGUGGGGGAUCGCAAGACCUCACGUUAUUCGAGCGGCCGACGUCUGAUUAGCUUGUUGGUGGGGUAAUGGCCUACCAAGGCGACGAUCAGUAGCGGGUCUGAGAGGAUGAUCCGCCACACUGGAACUGAGACACGGUCCAGACUCCUACGGGAGGCAGCAGUGGGGAAUUUUGGACAAUGGGGGCAACCCUGAUUCAGCCAUUCCGCGUGAGUGAAGAAGSCCUUCGGGUUGUAAAGCUCUUCAGCSGGAASGAAACGGUAUGUCUUAAUACGAUGUGCUAAUGACGGUACCGGCAGAAGAAGCACGGCU
rnacentral:rRNA from 1 species